GAAGUUGCGAGGGCGACCUGGCUGCGACGUGUCACCCCAUUAAUCGCCAGGGAUGAUUCGUCUGACGGGUCUGGCUAGGCGGGUGUCCCCUUCCCUUACCGCUUCAGACGCGUCCCUCCGGAAGCUGCGCGCCAGCUCGGUCGACCAUCCCCAUGGAGGAGGAGCGUUUCCUCAGCUAGGGCUACGUGCCUACCUGCGCUUCUCUGCUACACCCUCCGAAGGCGCUCUCAAGUUAAUGGAAAAGGAGCUCUCUGAGGUCAGGGUCUCUUAUUUUAUUUUAGUACUGGAGGGUUGCACCUA
rnacentral:snRNA from 1 species